rnacentral:rRNA from 1 species
GACGAACGCUGGCGGCGUGCUUAACACAUGCAAGUCGAACGGAGAAUUUAUUUCGGUAAAUUCUUAGUGGCGAACGGGUGAGUAACGCGUGGGCAACCUGCCCUUCAGAUGGGGACAACAUCCCGAAAGGGGUGCUAAUACCGAAUACGAUCACGCUGCCGCAUGGCGGUGUGAUGAAAGAUGGCCUCUAUUUAUAAGCUAUCGCUGAAGGAUGGGCCUACGUCUGAUUAGCUAGUUGGUGGGGUAACGGCCUACCAAGGCGAUGAUCAGUAGCCGGUCUGAGAGGAUGAACGGCCACAUUGGGACUGAGACACGGCCCAAAACUCCUACGGGAGGCAGCAGUGGGGAAUAUUCCGCAAUGGACGAAAAGUCUGACGGAGCAAACGCCGCGUGAGUGAUGAAGGUUUUCGGACUGUAAAGCUCUGUUGUUUAGGACGAAAAGUAGCCUGUUGCAAAUAAUUGCAGGUAUUGACGGUACUGAACGAGAAGGCACGGCUAACUAA